rnacentral:rRNA from 1 species
GAUUAUGGCUCAGAACGAACGCUGGUGGCGUGUCUUAUACAUGCAAGUCGAGCGAGGCAGCAAUGCCGAGCGGCGAACGGGUGAGUAACGCGUAAGCAAUCUGCCCCAUAUCAGGAAAUACCCGUGCCAACGCGCGGUUAAUGUCCAGGAGAGUGGCCCUCUGCAUGGAGGGUUGACUAGAGAUUUAUCGGUAUGGGAUGAGCUUGCGUCCGAUUAGCUAGUUGGCGGGGCAACGGCCCACCAAGGCGACGAUCGGUAGCCGGCCUGAGAGGGUGAUCGGCCACAUUGGGACUGAGAUACGGCCCAGACUCCUACGGGAGGCAGCAGUAGGGAAUAUUGCACAAUGGGGGAAACCCUGAUGCAGCAACGCCACGUGUGGGAAGAAGCAUUUCGGUGUGUAAACCACUGUCAUGAGGGAAUAAGGCCCGCCUUCGGGCGGGAUUGAAUGUACCUUGAGAGGAAGCACCGGCAAACUUCGUGCCAGCAGCUGC